ensembl:lncRNA
GUGAGAUAGUGGAGCUGCAGGCAAAUGACACAUUGCAAGGUGAACUAAGAUCAGGUGUUACCCAUUCCUGGAGCCUUGUGUCAGACACAGAGUAUCCACUUCUGAAGCAGUAUGUGCAAAAGGUGACAUCAUUUUUUGUCAGCACUUAUUCAUGUGAAGGAACAUUUUCAACAAUGAACAUUGUGUAACAAAAACAGGAAAAAAAGACUGACCAAUGCACACCUGGUAACCCUUAAUAUGGGUCUUAUACAUGUGAUGUAGUCUAUUUGUUGUGUGUAUGUAUAUAUUCGUGAUGUACUGUACAUCAAAUCCAUUGUAUGUGCUUUAUUGCUCUGAAUUUGCUCUCAAUUAAUCAUUGAUAAUAUUGAAGGAAAAGUACAACAAAUUAAAGAUCUGUGCGUCCCUCUGAAUGAUUGUCUCAACCCAAAAUGGCCACCUUACAAAACAUAGUAACAUAUGAUUACAGACAUUGACCCUUUCUCUCUCAGCUCAUUCAUCGUCAAGCCACUAACACCUCUGUCUGAUCACAGCCAUAUUACGUUGUUCCUCAAAGGAACAGACAUGGAAACAACCACACAUUCACAGCCCAAUAAGCUGUACAACAUCAGAAAUGCAUACAGAUGGGCCCAAAACAGCAGAGAAGAAUACUGGAAAGUAACCAGUAACCAAAAUAUCAAAACACUCUUAGAUAACUUCCUGGUUAGCACAUCCACUCACAGUAAAGAAGUCAUUAAUCUAGCAGUAAAAAACAUCAACAAUAUAUUCAGGCAAACAGCAAUUGAAGCACAACUGAAAUUGAUUUUUAAAAAGACCAUAGCUGACAACUGGUUUGAUGCAGAUUGAACAAUUAUAAGGAAAAAAUCUUAGAACACUAUCAAACCAAAAGCACAGAGACCCAAAUAAUGGUGAAUUACGCCUUCAUUACAAUGCAACUACUAUAUAAGCAUACACUCAGAACCAAAAACACCAAGCAGCUGACACUAAUUGAGGAGUCCAUAAACACAAACAACUUCUGGCAAAAAAAAAAAGAAACAAAAAAAAGAGGAAUUAGUGAUACAAAAUGGUGACAUAUGGACAACCCAUUUUAUCUGCAAAUUUGCAUAUAUUCUAGAAAAAGCCUCAGCCCCUGGUGUUAGUCUCCACAAUUCAGAGGUUAAAUGCCUGCUCUACACAUGCUGUCACAUGCACAUGGCCUACAGCAGAGUCUGGACCUGCUAGAGCAGUACUGCCAGACCUGGGCCCUGGCCAUAAACCCCCAAAAUACUAAAAUAAUGAUUUUCCAGAGAAGAUCCAGAUCUCAGGGAAUUAGACCAAAGUUCUCAAUUGUUACAAACUAUAUAGAGUACUGCACCCAUUACUUAGGUCUAAAAAUAAGCUCAACUGGACACUGUAAUGGCCUCCCGAGUGGCGUAACAGUCUAAGGCACUGCAUCUCAGUGCAAGAGGCGUCACUACAGACACCCUGGUUUGAAUCCAGGCUGUAUCACAACCGGCCGUGAUUGGGAGUCCAAUAGGGCGGCGCACAAUUGCC